CCGGAGGGGAGGAGGGGCGGAGGGGCGGAGGAGAGGGGGCGGAGAGGAAGAGGGGCGGAGGGGAGGAGGGCGCAGGGGAAGAGGGGUGGAAGGGAGGGGGGCGGAGGGAGGGGGAGGGGAGGGGGCGGAGGGGCGGAGGGGAGGGGGCCGGAGGGGAAGAGGAGAAGGGGGCGGAGGGGCGGGCUGCCCGGCCCCGCCCCGCCCCGCCCCGCCCCCGGCCCGUCCCCGGCCCUGCCCCGCGCCGCGCGCCGCCGGGGGCGCAGGGGUUCUCGGCUCGCCGACGGCCCGGCGGCGGCGGCGGCGGACGGACGGGCGGACGGACAGACGGCGGCUGAUCGCCCCGCGGUGAGUGCCCGCGACCCUCCGCCCGGCUCCCCGGCUCCGCCCGCGCCGCGCCCAGCCAGGCCGCCGCUCACGGCCAGGCGCUGGGAGCCCCGACGGCGGCCUCCGGCUCCCGGCCACCGGGACGGCGCCCCAGCGCAGCGCGCCCGGCCCACGGGCGGCCGCGGGCACUCGGGGCGGCGCGGGGCUCGGGGUCCGCGGUCGGCCCCCCGCCCCCUCCCCGCCAGGCGCCACUCACCCCCACGGUCCCUCUGCCCUCGGGUUCCGAGGCCGGUCGCGGUCAGUAGAGGGGAAGACCGGGCACCGCCCCCGCCGUCGCCCCCGCCGUCGCCCCCACCCCGUCCCCAUCCCGUCCCCACCCCGUCCCACUCGCUGCAGCACGCGCACGCACGCCGGUGGGCAGCAGAAGUCCCCGCACACUCUGCGGGGCACCCCGCCCUCCCCCCUCUCCAGCCCCGCGCGCAGAGCCCCUCCCCCAUCUCACACACAUGCUUGGCGCCUCACGCUCAUCUCUCACUCGUCCCUUUUGCGCACACAUGCUUCUUACACACGUGCCUCACACACGGGCGUCUCCUGGACAUGCAUGCCUGUCUCUCAGUGUGUCUGUUAAACACGUGUGCCUCCCUAACACACACAUGUGUGUCUGCCGCAUGUGUGUCUAUCGUGCAUGUGUGUCCCGCAUACCUGGAGUCAUAG
rnacentral:lncRNA from 1 species